rnacentral:rRNA from 1 species
AUUGAACGCUGGCGGCAUGCUUUACACAUGCAAGUCGAACGGUAACGCGGGGGCAACCCUGGCGACGAGUGGCGAACGGGUGAGUAAUACAUCGGAACAUGUCCUGGAGUGGGGGAUAGCUCGGCGAAAGCCGGAUUAAUACCGCAUACGCUCUGAGGAGGAAAGCGGGGGACCCGUAAGGGCCUCGCGCUGCGGGAGUGGCCGAUGUCGGAUUAGCUAGUUGGUGAGGUAAAGGCUCACCAAGGCGACGAUCCGUAGCUGGUCUGAGAGGAUGAUC